rnacentral:rRNA from 1 species
GACGAACGUUGGCGGCGUGCCUAACACAUGCAAGUCGAACGAAAGUAGCAAUACUUUAGUGGCGCACGGGUGAGUAACACGUAGCUUACCUCCCUCUCAGCGCGGGAUAACGACUCGAAAGAGUUGCUAAUACCGCAUAAGCUCACGGGUUCUAGAGACUUGUGAGAAAAGGUGCAAAUCACUGAGAGACGGGGCUGCGGCCCAUCAGCUAGUUGGCGCGGAAAGGCGCACCAAGGCGACGACGGGUAGGGGACCUGAGAGGGUGACCCCCCACACUGGGACUGAGACACGGCCCAGACUCCUACGGGAGGCAGCAGUGAGGAAUAUUGCACAAUGGGCGCAAGCCUGAUGCAGCGACGCCGCGUGGGUGAUGAAGGUCUUCGGAUCGUAAACGUCCCUUUUCUGCGUGACGAGACAGGACGGUAGCGC